UUUACGAAACAACGCAAUAAAACUUCUCCGACACGGUGGUUUGUAAUUUUGUAGCUCAGUCUAUAGCAGCCAGCCUAUAGGAACUUAUCUCUAUCUCUUCUGUCAGUUUACUACUUCAAGUCAACUGGAUUUAGAUUCAGAAUUAGAUACGUUCGAAACUGGAACACUUCCCCUAACUCAACUGCUUGAACUCAUGAACAACUCUUUGCAGUUCGCUCGUUUCUUCUUCCUCUUCAUCAUAACUUUCGUGCGCGAAUCGUCCAGCUCAGCGAUCAUCAAUCCAUCCAAAGCCAAGCAAAUUUCAUGGAAACCUAGAGCAUUUGUAUAUGAAGGAUUUCUUACGGAUGAAGAAUGCAAUCACUUGAUAUCUCUCGCAAAAUCGGAGCUGAAGAGAUCGGCUGUGGCAGAUAAUGAGUCUGGAAAUAGUAAGACCAGUGAGGUUAGGACUAGCUCCGGAAUGUUCAUUCCCAAAGCUAAGGUACUCAAUCCGCGUGUUCGGAAUUCACAAUCCACUGCCUUUGAUCCACUUGGCAAUACCCGCCCCAUCCCUGACACAGUUGUUUUAAUCUAAUAAUUUGAUGAUUGCUCCCUUUAAUAAUAGCUGAUGACUUCUUACAGGCUUCAGAUGGAUCCUAUUGUUUCUGGGAUAGAGGAGAAGAUAGCAACUUGGACUUUCCUACCAAAAGUGUCUAGGUUCAUUCUGUAAUACUCCCUCUCAAGCUGGAGUAUAUAUAUUGAUCAUGCCCAACUUGUUACAAAGGUAAUCAACUCGAGUGCCAUUCAAUGCUUUAGUGAACAAAUCGGCUAGCUGCUCUCCUGUCUUCACGUAGCCAGUGGAAAUCAAGUUCUCCUGAAUCUUCUCACGAAUAAAAUGACAGUCAACUUCAAUAUGUUUGGUUCUUUCAUGAUACAUUGGAUUUGAGGCAAUAUGGAGUGCAGCUUGAUUAGCACACUAGAGUUUUGAUGGAGUAGGAUGCUUCAACCCAAUUUCAGUUAAAAGGUGAUGUAUUCACAUUAUCUCACAUGUGGAUUGUGCCAUAGAUCUAUACUCUUUGUUUGUUACUUCUCCAUGAUACCAAGUUUCCACCAACAAAUACACAGUAACCAGUAGUAGAUCUUCUAUCAAUCUUGGAUCCAGCCCAAUCUAUAUCUGCAAAACAAUCAAUGGGAGAAUGACCGUGAUUACUGUAUAAUAUGCCAAGUCUAGGAGCUUCUUUUAAGUAACAUAGGAUCUGGUCUAAAGCCUCCCAAUGUUUAACUGUGGGCGCGGACAUGAACUGGUUAACCAUACUCACUGCAAAAGCAAUAUCUGGACGAGUCACAGUGAGAUAGUUUAAUCUCCUAACUAACCUCCUGUAUCUAUCGGAUCAUUAAAUGGAUCGCCAUCAUCUUUUAUAAGAUGCAAAUGAAGAACCAUUGGAGUACUGCAAAGCUUGGCAGCCAACUUACCAGUUUCUGCUAGUAAGUCAAGAAUAUACUUUUCUGAGAUAAAAAAAUUCCCUUCCUGCUUCUAGUUAUUUCUACUCCUAAGAAAUAUUUCAGUUGUCCAAAGUCUUUUGUAUGAAACUUAGUAUGCAAGAAAGACUUGAGAGAAGAGAUUCCUGCAUAAUCACUCCCUAUGAUAACCACAUAUACAACAAGGAGAAUAGAUCCGGCUGUUGAUUACUUGUAGAAGAUAGAAUGAUCACAUUUGCUUUUUUUUAGCCCAAAUUCUUGAACUGCUUCACUAAAUUUACCAAAUCAAGCCCGGGGACUCUGCUUCAAGCCAUAUAAGGAUUUCUUCAAAUGACAGACCUUGCCAUAACCCCCCCCCCCC